rnacentral:rRNA from 1 species
AGCGAACGCUGGCGGCGUGCCUAACACAUGCAAGUCGAACGUGAAAAGGGGCAACCCUGAGUAAAGUGGCGUACGGGUGAGUAACGCGUAGGUAAUCUACCCCAGAAUCUGGAAUAACCGGCCGAAAGGCUGGCUAAUACUGGAUAGAGCGACGGAAUCCGUAAUUGGGUUUUUCGGGAAAGGGAGGGAGCAAUCCCCCUCGUUUUGGGAUGAGCCUGCGUCUCAUUAGCUAGUUGGCGGGGUAACGGCCCACCAAGGCAUUGAUGAGUAGCUGGUC